UCAUGCUGCGCAACCUCAAACCCCCUUCUUUACUGUCCUUGCUGCGCAGUCUUUAUGCUGAACACUCACACCCACACUCUUCUUUGAGAAACGCAUCACACACACACCCACAAAGCACGGUUGGCCGAGGGAGGAGAAUCGCACCGGCGUGUCGGACUUCACCACCGCCGUCGCGCUGGGCCGUUGUGCUCCACGCAGUGCCGUCGCCGCUGCACACCGAGGGAAGAGAGAUCGAGAACAGAGCUGCAAUUGGAGGGGAAGAGACUGAUGGGAAGGGCCUCGCGAGGAGGGUUCCCGCCGUGCCGCCACUAGCGUUGGGGUCUGACGCCGCCUGUUACCGUCGGGAGCUUCCUUGCCAUUGCCAUAGAAGCUGCCUUUGUCGGCGCGGAAGAACGCCGUUGAGAAGGGAAAUGUGAGCUGCGAGCCACGGGCUGAGGAGAAGCUCCACCCUCGUUGUCGCUGGAGGAGUUCUGUGCGUCGCCAUCCAGGGUUGCCGCGGGUGGGGAGAAGACGCCGCCGCCUCACGCCGCUGUCACCAUCUGAGCUCGCUGUUGCUGAUGAUGGUAAGCCCAAACCGUCGCCGGCAAAGGGAUUCAGGCCGCCGCAGGUGUUGCUGCCGAAAAAGGGAACUGCAUCUCCGUGAUUCUGGCCGCCGGGAGAGGUUCUGUGACUUCUGGAAGCACCGCCGGAGUUCCGGACUCAGCUUCUGCCACUCGAGACCCUGCUGCCGUCGCCGGAAAAGUUUGCCGUUGGCGCGAUCUGAAAUUAUCGUCGCUGUCGCUUGAGGUGGCUGCCGCGUUGCCGCCGAACCGGUUUGGAGACCACCGCUGUUUCGGUUCAGCCGCUCCUUCUUCGGUUCGAGUUGUUGAGACUGUUGCGAAAGUGGCUUGGAGCUGAGGUUUUGGUUGCCGUCAGUUCGAUUUGAGGCGGAAAGGACUUGAUGAGUCAUUUGGGUUAUGGAAUUGCGUUUUGAGGUAGGGGCGCUUUCCAAAAACUAUGUUUUAUGUAUUGGAAUUAUUACAUAUGGAUACUGAUGUGAGAUAUUGUGUAUUGGAAUUAUUACAUAUGGAUACUGAUGUGAGAUAUUGUGUAUUUGGUGAUUGUAUCUGCCUUAUGUAUUACUUGAUUGACUCGAAUGAUUAUGGAUGUUGGUUUGGCUGAAUUGUUGUGCGGCUUUGUGAAAUGUAAUGUUUUGAAGUUGAUUCUUUAAAGAUUUGAAAUCUGAGUUUAAUCCGCUGAGGAUUGAUUUGAUUUGAGUUAAUUGUUUUGAUGAUUUGAAAAGUCGAUGCACUUUUGGAUUUAGCCUGGUUUACUUUAAUUGAUUCGGUUUUGGACAAAUGAUUUGUUAUUGAGCCGUUUCUUUAAAGCCUUGGAAAUGAGUUAAAUCGAUUGAUAUUGAGUUAAUUUUGAAAUAGUAUCCUUGAGAUACGCCACUGAGGCGAUUGUUGGAUUUAGCAUGCUUUGAAUUGAUUUCUGGUUUUGUGUUGUUGAAAAGGAAUGAGGAACGGUUUAGUUGGGACCCGAACCGGGUGACAAAAGUCCAAGUUUUAGGGGAGGUGCUGUCGAAAUUUCUAUAAAAUCCGAGUUCUUAUUGAAAUGUUGUCUGGAAAAUGAUGAAUUAAAGACUUUUUACUAUUUUAUUUGAAUUAUCAAGAAAAGGAUGAUUCAUGCUUUCGAAAUGAGUUAGUAAAGAGGAAAUUGUGAUUUAGUCUUGCUUCUUAAGGAAGGCCUUGUACCUCUUUCAGGAGAAGGUUAAUUAGAUGAAACUUGUGUUUUAAAGCUGUUUGAAUGUGAAAAGGAUUUAUGCCUUUAAAUUUGACUUGGGGGUUUCAAUUAAAGAAGUUUCAAUGACUUUGAAAGAACCUGAAUGCCUAUUGACAAGUUUCAUUUUGAAAUGUUUUGAGAAAUGUUUUAAGUACUCUUUGAAUUUUUAAAUCUUGCAAGACUAAAACAAUUUUGAACAGUUGAAACGUUCUAGAAUUUAUCAAGGGGGUUGAAGUUGGUUUUGCCUAAGUAAAGGAAACGGCUUUGAAAGAAGUGAAUGAUUACGUGACUCAGUUUGGCAUAGAUCCUAUUUUAUCACUCAAAUCGGAAAGCCAAGGUUUUAAUGAUUUUAAAUGAUUUUGGCGGAAUGAGUUAUGUUAUUCUCCCCUAAAGACUUGGAACUCUGUCGGGAAAACUUUUCUUAUAAAAUCCCAUUGUUGGAUGGGUGAUUUUGAAUACUUUGAAAUAAAUCCUUAACUUGCCAUGGUUUUGGGAGUUUUGGAAAGAGAAUGCCGAGGGUGGCUUUGUUUUAAAAAGAGAACUUACUUUGAGUAAAUUUGGCUUAUGAGCCUGAGAUGAUUUGAGAAAUGAGAUCUUUAAAGCCAAGGCUGAAAAGAGUUUAAAUUUGAUUUCAAAGUGAAAUGUCUUGAGAAAAGUAAGUUAUGGCUUAAAUGCCGGUUUUAUGAAUUUGAUGAUGUUAAAUGGUGGAAUGGCUGUGUAUGAUGUUGAUUUAUGGCUGAUUGCCGAAUGAGUUAUGGGCCGUAUGGCUGAUUAUGAAUUAUGAAUUUAAACCGAAUGGCUGUAUUUAUUGAUAAAUUGACUGGUUCUGGAUUGAACUGUGAGCCGGAUGGCUGAGAUGGAUGGUGAUCCAUGGUUGAGUACAAAUGCAUGUACGCAAUUGAAUGAAUUGUGAAUUUAAGCCGGAUGGCUGAGAUGAAUGUUGUAUGCGAGUAUGCUUGUGUUUUCUCUCUGGUUGUAAGGGUGACAGGGCACCGAUACCCUCUAAUGGCGACAGGGCGCAGAUACCCUCUAAUGGCAACAGGGUGUAGAUACCCUCUAAUGGCGACAGGGCGCAGAUACCCUCUAAUGAUAAUAAUGCGCAACAGAGAGACUGUGUCCGGGUUAGCUACCGGACACGUCGGGUUGGCUUGGUAACCGACAGAUGAUAUCAUCAGCCACUAGGAUAGGCAUGCAUCAUAUGCAUCUAUGUGACAUUGUUUGGGUGUGCAUAUUGUACGUGAUUUGCCUUUGUGAUUAACUGCUAAUUGUUCUACUUGCUGUAACUGUUUGUUUGUGAUUGAACUUCCUAUCUGUGUUUGCAUCUGGGACUCUGUUGGAUUGUGGUGAUUGGUUGAUGGUUGGAUUGUUUGGGCCUAGGGCCGUGGUUGGAAUGGGAUGAACCGAUGGUUGAUUUCGGUUUUGUGUUUCUGGUUUGGAAUAAAGUAUGAAAUGCUAAUUUGGUUCAGCAUGGUUACACCUUUUUGAAAGGCUUUUGAGUUUUUGAGAAUUGAACAGUUUCUCUUUUAGAAAAGAUUUCAGAUUUCUCUUUUAUUGUAAACUGUUGUUUUUGAAAAGAGGCAUAAGACGGUUAUUAAUCACUGGUAUGGUUUAUCUUCAUGUAUCCUAUUACAGUAAUUCCCAAAAACCAUCUACUGAGAACCCUUUCGAGGAUGAUGUUCUCACCCCCUAUAUUUUUCCCCAUUCAGGAUAUGGGCGCAGAAGUCAUGAAGAGUUUAUUUAAUUGUUGUUGAGAUGCUCUGUAUUGCUUUAGAUUAUUAUUUUUGUACCCUCGCCUUUACCUUGAUAUAUUCUGUAAGAGGGAUAGGAAUUGUAUUGGGUAAUGUUUGUAGUAUUAUUUAUAUUUAUGUAUGUAUAUAUAUAUGGAUGUACUCUUGAUGAGCUUUUGUAAGUUGUAUGGUAUCUAUGGAUGUACGUUAUCGAACGAAAGUAAAUUUUGGAGCAGUAUUGCGGUUUAAAGUUUUAAACAUGCUCAUAUUUAGUAUUAAAUAGUAUAAGUGUCGUCGUAAUGUCCGAGCUAUCAGAGUUGCGCAGCCGAAAGCGUGAGCUUUGGUAGUUAGGGUGUUACAUUAUGGUAUCAGAGCGGUCCUUCCUGUAGAGCCUGAGGAAUGGACCAAUUAUGUUUCAGUUGCAUACCCUGAACGUUUGUCAUGUAUUAGGUCUUGUCGAAUGACGGGAAUUAGAGCCUUAUGCCCAUGAUGAUCUAUUGAUUAACGCUGUUAGUCUUGCAUUGCAUAAUUCUUGGUAUUAAGUUUGGCCGGCUUAAUACUAGUGAAUUUUGUAUAUGAAAGCACUAAUGGGUUAUCAUAGAUGAUAUACGAGUUGAGUAAAGCGAAUUGCGGGUUUUGGGAACGUUAGAAACUAUUUCUCGAGGCUAUUCAGUUGUGUAUCUUGGAUUUUGUUCGAGUCGACCUGUUCUUUCAUAUCCUAACUUGAAGUUCUUGUUGCUACUCCUCUUGAAAAGUAAUUUGAUGUUUCCACUCUGUUUCUCUAUUCAUAUGCAUUCUUGUUGAUCUUAAGUGCAUAUGCUUAUUUAAAAUCCUUGUUGCAUCUAUCUUCCUCUAUUUGAGUUCUUCUUGAUUCAUGUAUUUUUUGAUAUAGCUUUGAACUUGUCCUAAUGCGCUGUGCAUUUUAACUCCGGGAUUUUGAGUCCAUUAUUAGAGAAAUUGUUGAUUCAGUUUUUCUCUUAUUUGACAGUGAGCACAGCCAAUUUUGAGAUUUUAUGAAAAUUGCUAUUUAAUAGAUAUAUACUUAUCUAUACAUGAAAUUUUGAAGAUUUCUCAUACCGCUUAGCAACUAUCUAUCUUUUAUACCUCGACUGUAUUUUUACUGGUUUAUGGAACUGCAUUUACCUUAAAUUACAAUUUGACUUUCUAGCAAUUUUACUAUAGUUUCAAUGCACAUCUUCAUUUGAUUAUGUAUUUGGAUAUUUUUCAAAAUUUUGGAAAGGAAAGCUUUUUCACUUUUAUCCCGGUUGAGUUUCGGUUGAUAAGCUUUACUUAACUUAUUUUGAAUUGAGUUUGAUUUAGCAUGCUAUAUGGUUUGUGCCAUUGUUGCUCUUUUGAAAGUGUUGGACUCAUAGCUUUCUUCCUAUGAACGGACUAAAUUCUCUAUUAAAUCUUCCAUCUCUAUGAAUGUCAUACUUGACUUUGUUUUUAACUAAUCUUUUACAUCUUGUGAACGUUACCAUUGAUCUUGGUUUUUCCAAUCUUGUGAAUCUCAUUCUUAUGUGAGUUAGUUUGAUUCGUUUCAAAAUAGU